rnacentral:rRNA from 1 species
UACAGAGGUCCCAAGCGUUGUUCGGAUUCACUGGGCGUAAAGGGUGCGUAGGCGGUUGAUUAAGUCUGAUGUGAAAUCUCCGAGCCCAACUCGGAAACUGCAUCGGAAACUAGUCAGCUAGAGGAUUGGAGGGGGGACUGGAAUUCUCGGUGUAGCAGUGAAAUGCGUAGAUAUCGAGAGGAACACCAGUGGCGAAGGCGAGUCCCUGGACAAUUCCUGACGCUGAGGCACGAAAGCUAGGGGAGCAAACAGG